rnacentral:rRNA from 1 species
AGAACGAACGCUGGCGGCAGGCUUAACACAUGCAAGUCGAGCGCCUCGCAAGAGGAGCGGCAGACGGGUGAGUAACACGUGGGAACAUACCCUCCGGUUCGGAAUAACUCAGGGAAACUUGAGCUAAAUACCGGAUACGGUCGAGAGGCGAAAGAUUUAUCGCCGGAGGAUUGGCCCGCGUCCGAUUAGCUAGUUGGUGUGGUAAUGGCGCACCAAGGCGACGAUCGGUAGCUGGUCUGAGAGGAUGAUCAGCCACAUUGGGACUGAGACACGGCCCAAACUCCUACGGGAGGCAGCAGUGGGGAAUAUUGGACAAUGGGCGCAAGCCUGAUCCAGCCAUGCCGCGUGAGUGAUGAAGGCCUUAGGGUUGUAAAGCUCUUUCGCUAGGGACGAUAAUGACGGUACCUAGACAAGAAGCCCCGGCUAACUUCGCGUCAGCAGCCGC